CGGGCGAAUCGACGGGCUCGCACGGGGCAGCCCCCUCCCCCAGCCGACGCAGCCGCUGCCGCCGCCAGAUCUGCAGGUCGGGAAGCGCCAAGUCUCCCGGGCCGCCAGAAAACCCGGACCAGCACGUUCAUCACCUCCUUGCUCCCGCUGCUGCCAUCUUGACAGUUUUCCCCCCUUCACUCAAGUCCUUUAAAAACACUAGCGGGAGAGAAGGGGGCGCGCACACCGAGUCACGGGGAAGGAAAAGGGAAGCGCCUGGCCCAGCUCGGAAGCAGAUCCGGAGUCACCGGGAAGGCGGCCGCCCCGCUGCACAGCUCCGGCGCCUACCUCGGUUCCUUCCCUUCAGGGACGAGGGGGGAGGACGCACAAUCCCGCGCGGGCCCGGGGCACGGCGAGGAGGGGACGUGCAACCUCCGCGAAGGAGAGGCGCUCCGGCUGCCGCCGCAGCCCGCCUGAGGAACCGCCUGUCAGCCUGCGCGCCGCCGCCUUCCACAUUCCUCCUCCUCCCUUCCACAAGCAGGGGGGCCGCGGCAGAAGCACAAAGUUAUAGACACACGCAGGGUGCCUCAACCUAAGCUGACGGCGGGCGGGCGGGCGGAUCCCCGCCCAGAGGGAGGGCUGGGCACCGGGCCCUGGUGUGCUGGUGUCCGGGUGUGUGUGCGUGCGCUCGCGCGCGCGCCUGCGCGACUCGGCUCGGCGGGGCUGCGGGCGUGGGUGUCAGGGCGCGCGCAGCAGCCCGGGACUCGGCGGGCUCCCGCAACUGUCCCCUCCGGGCUCCUCCUCUCUCCCGAGAGCCUCAACGACAACAAAGCGCGGCGAGGGCCCAGGAGAAGAGGGAGUGGGGAGCGCAGAGCCUCAAACGCUCCACGAGCGCAGUCGCGUGGCCUCCUUGACUCGGGGCUGGACGCCUGGCUCCUGGGGUCCCCGGCAAGCACGUCCGUUCGCCAGGCUCUGGACCCGCCCUGGUGUUGGGUUCCCCAUUAGAACCGGACACCAGGUAACACCCGAGAAAAGAUGCUGACCGCAGAUGGCAAGGGUUACCUCGGCGUGGAAACACAGACAAACGAAGAUGUUGGUGCCUUCAGGACUUCGACAAGCUGAUGCCCUCAGAUCUGAUCAGGCACUAAGAGGUUUGCACUGAGCCUUACCCAGGACGCUCGACCGCAAUCGUGUCACUUUUCAUAGGUUUCAUGGCAAACGGGGAGAAAUGUAACUCCGUGGAAAAAAAAUUAUUCACAUUCCUAAACGCAAGAGCAGAUUUUGAACAGUUGUGAAUGGAAAAUAAUUUGAUUUUAAUUUGUAAAUGA